rnacentral:rRNA from 1 species
AUUGAACGCUGGCGGCAGGCUUAACACAUGCAAGUCGAACGGAGUGGCGAACGGGUGAGUAAUGUAUCGGAACGUGCCCAGUAGCGGGGGAUAACUACUCGAAAGGGUAGCUAAUACCGCAUACUAUUGGAGCGGCCGAGAUCGGAUUAGCUAGUCGGUGGGGUAACGGCUCACCUAGGCGACGAUCCGUAGCUGGUCUGAGAGGAUGACCAGCCACACGGGGACUGAGACACGGCCCAGACUCCUACGGGAGGCAGCAGUGGGGAAUUUUGGACAAUGGGGGAAACCCUGAUCCAGCCAUCCCGCGUGUGGGAUGAAGGCCUUCGGGUUGUAAAGCACGUUUGGCAGGAAAGCGGUACCUGCAGAAUAAGCACCGGCUAACUACGUGCCAGCAGCCGCGGUAAUUC